rnacentral:rRNA from 1 species
AUACGGAGGGUCCGAGCGUUAUUCGGAAUCAUUGGGUUUAAAGGGUCCGUAGGCGGGAAUCUAAGUCAGUGGUGAAAUCUUGCAGCUCAACUGUAAAAUUGCCAUUGAUACUGGAUUUCUUGAAUUAGUGUGAAGUGGUUAGAAUGUGUAGUGUAGCGGUGAAAUGCAUAGAUAGUACACAGAAUACCAAUUGCGAAGGCAGAUCACUAACACUAUAUUGACGCUAAGGGACGAAAGCGUGGGGAGCGAACAGGAUUAGAAACCCCGGUAGUCC